GGUUUGUGGCUCAGUGGUAGAACACUUGCCUGAAAUGUGUGAGGCACUGGGUUUAAUCCUCAGGACCA
rnacentral:tRNA from 1 species